rnacentral:rRNA from 1 species
UACAGAGGGGGCAAGCGUUGUUCGGAAUUACUGGGCGUAAAGCGUGCGUAGACGGCUAUCUAAGUCGGGUGUGAAAGCCCCGGGCUCAACCUGGGAAUUGCAUUCGAGACUGAAUAGCUAGGGUACGGUAGAGGGAAGUGGAAUUUCCGGUGUAGCGGUGAAAUGCGUAGAUAUCGGAAGGAACAUCAGUGGCGAAAGCGACUUCCUGGACCAGUACCGACGUUCAGGCACGAAAGCGUGGGGAGCAAACAGG